UCUUCAAUAGCUCAGGUGUUAUUUUUUCGUGUUGAUCCAUCUCCCUCAUCUGUAACUGAAGAACACAGGUUUUUAAGCGUGGCAUCAAGUUAUCUUUCUCAAUAAUUAAUCAGCCUUGGGGUUCUU